CUCAGGAUGAACGCUGGCGGCGUGCCUAAUACAUGCAAGUCGAGCGAACAGACGAGGAGCUUGCUCCUCUGACGUUAGCGGCGGACGGGUGAGUAACACGUGGAUAACCUACCUAUAAGACUGGGAUAACUUCGGGAAACCGGAGCUAAUACCGGAUAAUAUAUUGAACCGCAUGGUUCAAUAGUGAAAGACGGUUUUGCUGUCACUUAUAGAUGGAUCCGCGCCGCAUUAGCUAGUUGGUAAGGUAACGGCUUACCAAGGCAACGAUGCGUAGCCGACCUGAGAGGGUGAUCGGCCACACUGGAACUGAGACACGGUCCAGACUCCUACGGGAGGCAGCAGUAGGGAAUCUUCCGCAAUGGGCGAAAGCCUGACGGAGCAACGCCGCGUGAGUGAUGAAGGUCUUCGGAUCGUAAAACUCUGUUAUUAGGGAAGAACAAAUGUGUAAGUAACUAUGCACGUCUUGACGGUACCUAAUCAGAAAGCCACGGCUAACUACGUGCCAGCAGCCGCGGUAAUACGUAGGUGGCAAGCGUUAUCCGGAAUUAUUGGGCGUAAAGCGCGCGUAGGCGGUUUUUUAAGUCUGAUGUGAAAGCCCACGGCUCAACCGUGGAGGGUCAUUGGAAACUGGAAAACUUGAGUGCAGAAGAGGAAAGUGGAAUUCCAUGUGUAGCGGUGAAAUGCGCAGAGAUAUGGAGGAACACCAGUGGCGAAGGCGACUUUCUGGUCUGUAACUGACGCUGAUGUGCGAAAGCGUGGGGAUCAAACAGG
rnacentral:rRNA from 1 species